UUUGACUACUGUGCUACCCUGAACACAACCAAUCUUGCCUGAUUUGGGAAGUUAAACAGGGUUAAGCCUAGUUAGUAAUUCGAUGGGAAACCGUGAGGGGAGAGCGGGGGUCUCCAGGU
rnacentral:rRNA from 1 species